rnacentral:misc_RNA from 1 species
AUUGGGGAAGGCAUGUGUCUAGUAUUACAAACCCUGGCAACAAACGCUAAUGUACAAUUUCCCAUUUGAAAUUACUUCCAAUAAUGUAGUACUUGUUACUGUUAAAGAAAUGAAGAAUUAUAGGCUGCAAGAGAACCAUCCUUUCUUUUUCUCAUCUUAACUCAGCACAGCAUCUGAUUAAUUACAUUAUUAAUCUCAUUGACUGCAAUUUUGCAGUAUAAAAGACGUGUGUAAUUUGAGUUCUGGGAGAAAUGGG